UGGUGUUGAUCUCUGAGGCUCUCACUGGUAGCGUAGAUCUCCACUAUCCUCUCCUCUCUCUCUCCUUGUGUGUUCCUGGCCUUGGUCAUCAUGUUGGGCAUGGUGUAAAUCACCUCAGCCAUAUUCUGGUCCAAACUGUUUUCAGAGUUUCUUAUCGUCCUACCCCUAUGAGUGCCUCGUCUUUCUGUGCGUUUUGAAUGCCAGCAUGUCAAAGUCUUAACGCCUACUUUGAUCAAACAGGAAGUAUUUUAACCAGAGGCUACUUGCUACAUGUGCUUGCAGAGUCACUGUGUGGUAAGACACAUCCUGUUUCUUAGUAAGUGGUACAUGCAGUGCAUCACUUAUGGUCAUAAACGUAAGGUUGAUUUGUUGAACAACAUCAAAAGGAUCAAAUAAAACAUCAAGACAUUCUUCAAAUACACAUUUUUGAGCCAUAGGUCUUGGUUAACUGUUAAUUAAUGGCUGUGUCUGUUAAAGCAGAUCAUUUGAUAGACGUUGAUGAUAUUAUUGAUGUCCACUCCAGAAAGAAAGUCCAUGUUCGUGCCCCCCUUAAGUUACAAAGCAGAUCUGCCCCUGGCCUACCAGGUAGGUAGACAGGUAGGCCGUCCAAUCAUUAAUUUGGCCCGAGAUAAAAGAUUGGACGGGCUUCGGAUAGUCCUGCAACAUCCAAAGAUAUCCGAUUUUCUUUCUUAUUGUCGGCGCAUUCGAUUUAUUAACUGGGUCUGGAUGUAAAGGAUCAACAAAUAUGAGAAAAAAUGAUUCAAAAAUAAAUUGCCUACCCUAGCUUUAACACGGCAUCGCUUCAAUUAACAACGCACACAGCACAAUACAUUACACAAUCAUAAAGAUACCAGAUGCAGAGAGGAUAUAACAAUACAUCAAAAAGUAAUGUUCAAUUAGUGUCCAGUCCAGCUAGUGGUCACACUUCUGAUUGGAUUUGAGCCAUUGUUUUAGUUGUCCUUUAAAAGAAGAAUAUUUGGGGCCUUCACUUAUUGGAGGGAAGACUGUUCCAGAUGUCCCCCCCCCACAACAGACAACACAUUUCUCCCAUACGUGGUGCGUCUGUGGGGAAUCUCACAGUCUCCUCUAUCGUGAGCCCUGGUGCUCAUGCCUCUCAGAGUCAUUUUCGUUAUGAACUCAUUCAGCGGUGGUGGAGCAAGACCAUGGAGACUUUUACAUAUGAAACAGGCAAACCAAAAUAAAAUAAAAAAUUCGAAACUUAAUUUUUUUUUGGGCUUUAGGGCUUUUUUAUAGAGAUUCUAUCGGUUUGAGUGCUGUCGUACAUGCCAGUGACCAGCUCGUUAAGCAGUAAUCUAUAUGUGAUGAAAUCAUACAGUGUAAAAACAUCAGAGCUGCACUACUGGCUAAAGAAUUCCUGAUCUGUCUGAAAUUUGCCAGGUUGUAUUUGACAGAGUUGGACACUUUUUUGAUGUGUUUCCUGAAUGAGAGGGUCGAGUCCAGAAUGACUCCCACGUAUCUGAAAUCCCUUACCAAGGCGAGCUCCUCUCCUCCCAGAAAGACACCAAUGUUUUGCGGCCUUUUAGCAAAAAUCAUAGACACUUUUUUUUACUUUUAAAGAAAGACAUGAAUCAGUGAGCCAGACCUGAGCCAUUGCUGUUGUGAGUAUUUGAGCAGCCUCUAUUGGGUUUUUCGCAGGGGUGAAAAUCAAUGAUGAGAGAAGAAUGCAGCGAUUAAGUCCACAAUUUUGGCAAAGUAACCAAACUACUGCCUUCGAAAUAUACGUUCAAAGCCGACUCAUUCACGCCAUCCUCACAGUGAGAGUCUCUUGUAAUACACCAGAGUGCAGUGGUACCUUUAAGGGUGGAAAACUGAGGGCCCUGUUGACCCCACCACCAGUAGAGCUGGUCUGACCUCUUGACCUCAGAGUGCAGCCACCUGAAGGUUCCGUUAGUCACGUGACUGGGCCCACUCUCGGAGUCACUGGAGACUAAAUGCACCGUUCACUUGUUAAAUAUGUACGAAUGUUUUGAUAUCUAACGUUUUUAAAGGGAAUUUUCAAAGAUGAUUAUUGUCCAUUGAGCCUUUGGUUUUCAUCCACUGAUAUGUUUUAUAUAUUAUGUGUUAUGUCAUGUGUUCAUUUAAUUAGCAGAUAACGAACAUCAUCCUCGAGUUAAAAUGUAAUAAUCUAAUUGAAUAUUUGAUUGUCACUGCAAAAUCCUAUUAGUAAUAUGAAUGUGUUUAAUAGUGGCCUUUGAAUAGAAAACGUUGUUUCAAAGUACAAGUCUUAUUUGGAUAAUAAAUGUCAGCCUGAUGAGUUUCAUUGGGUUCUCCAUGGCAGCUAUGUUGAAUUAUGGAAUACCACAAUCGUAUGCAAACCAAACAUCGCGGAAAGCUGGCUGUAGCCCUGACCCAAAAUCAGAAUCAGAAUCCCAUAACUAAUUUAUAAGUGGCGUCUGUGCCCUAAGUUUGCAUAAAAAAACGUGCAGCACUUCAAAUAUAUUAUAUUAUUUGGGCCGUUUAAUUUGUUUGGAAGUGCAAAACUGUUUGCCCCGCUCAAGACAAGCAAGGAAACAUCUGUUUGUUGAAAAUUGCGGUUAAUUAUAUUCGUCCAUUACAUGAGUGACACUGCCCUCUACUGGUCAGUAAAUGGAUGUACACUGAUACCUGAAAUUUCAGUUUCUUUAGAUUCUUCUUUUAAACCUGCAUUCCUUUUAUAAUGGCACUGUAUGAGCGUGAGGGCUCAAUGUUUGACACCAAGACCCAGUCUGACUUUUCGGAUCGAGCUACUGCAUAACUGUACAAGGGAACAUGAUUGAAGCACGCUUGUUUAGUGUGUGCAUUGACGUGACUAUUUUGCCUCAGUCAAGUAAACAAGCAAUAAUUGAUGUACACCGGAUAGUAGCCUAUAGUCCUGCACCAUCCCGAUAUCCAAUUGUUUUAUUAUUGUCGGCGCAUUCGAUGUAUUAAUUGGGUCUGGAUGUAAAGGGUCAACAAAUAAAUUGCCUACCCUAGCAUUAACACGGCAUCGCUUCAAUUAGUUUUUCCACCGACGACAAAACACAUUAUCUUGUGAAAACGUUAUUGCUGUACAAAACGUCGGCAUAUCUACAAAACAAAAAACUUUGAAUAGAAACCAAAGUAGGAAAACUGAGAAGAUCCAACAACGUCUGAGCUAGUCUGUUGUGUUUGUAUCCCGCGUGCCCGCGUGGGGAAACGACGUCGGGAGGAGAACGCUCCCGACGUCCCCCGAGUCCCCCGCCUCCGUGCAGCGUGUGGUCCAUGGAUACCACGGUAACCACGGUGGCGGCUAGUGCCGCUGUGAGGGUGUGCUGUGAUCGUCUAGACUAGAGGCCUUGCCGCUUUGGUGGACGUCCAUUCUAAAGGCCCGAGGAGAAAAGGGUUCCCUCUUCUCCAGGAGGGGUUAUCCACUGUCAGGACGGUCCCAUCAACCCAUCUCCACAUCCCUUCACUGGCCUCAUCUGUCGCUCCGAGCCAGAUGUGACCGCCUUGCCAUUUGUUAAUGAAGUCCAUCUCCUCUUUACUGUCCACGACCAUCAGAUCUGCUCCGUGGGAAACACAGAGCUCCCUGCUCUUAUUCCAGGAUCCUCUCCAUGCGUGCCCACCCAAUGAGUCCAGCCAGCAGGAAAACAGACAGCAGGCCCAGAAGCACCACCACAGCCCUGAUCGGCCACUGAGGAGGGCUCACAGGGUCCGGCUGCUGACCUCUUACUGUUCCCAGAGUAUUGGAGGACUCCUCUGUCCCCACAUAGUCCUGGUGUUGAUCUCUGAGGCUCUCACUGGUAGCGUAGAUCUCCACUAUCCUCUCCUCUCUCUCUCCUUGUGUGUUCCUGGCCAUGUUGGGCGUGGUGUAAAUCACCUCAGCCAUAUUCUGAUCUAAACUGUUUUCAGAGUUUCUUAUCGUCCUUCCCCUAUGAGUGCUCUGUCUUUCUGUGCGUUUUGAAUGCCAGCAUGUCAAAGUCUUAACAGCUACUUUGAUCAAACAGGAAGUAUUUUAACCAGAGGCUACUUGCUAUAUGUGCUGGCAAAGUCACUGUGGUAUGGUUAGACACAUCCUGUUUCUUAGUAAGUGGUACAUGCAGUGCAUCACUUAUGGUCAUAAACAUAAGGUUGAUUUGUUGAUCAACAUCAAAAGGACCAAAAUAAACAUCAAGACAUUCUUCAAAUACACAUUUGAGCCAUAGGUCUUGGUUAACUGUUAAUUAAUGGCUGUGUCUGUUAAAGCAGAUCAUUUGAUAGAUGUUGAUAUUAUUGAUGUCCAAUCCAGAAAGAAAAUUCCAUGUUCGUGCCCCCCUUAAGUUACAAAGCAGAUCUGCCCCUGGCCUACCAGGUAGGUAGACAGACAGGUAGGCCGUCCAAUCAUUAAUUUUGCCCAAGAUAAAUGAUUGGAUGGGCUUAGUAUAGUCCUGCAACAUCCAAAGAUAUCAGAUUUUCUUCAUUAUUGCCGGCGCAUUCGAUUUAUUAAUUGGGUCUGGAUGUAAAGGAUCAACAAAUAUGAGAAUAAAUGCUUCAAAAAUAAAUUGCCUACCCUAUCUUUAACACGGCAUCACUUCGAUUAGUUCUCCACCGACGACAAAACACAUCAUCUUGUGACAACUUUAUUGCUUUACACAACGUGUGAUCGGCAUAUCUACAAAAUAAAGAACUUUGAAAAGAAACCAAAGUAUAUAUA